AACAGGAUUAGAUACCCUGGUAGUCCACGCCGUAAACGAUGUCGACUUGGAGGUUGUGCCCUUGAGGCGUGGCUUCCGGAGCUAACGCGUUAAGCCGACCGCCUGGGGAGUACGGCCGCAAGGUUAAAACUCAAAUGAAUUGACGGGGGCCCGCACAAGCGGUGGAGCAUGUGGUUUAAUUCGAUGCAACGCGAAGAACCUUACCUACUCUUGACAUCCAGAGAACUUAGCAGAGAUGCUUUGGUGCCUUCGGGAACUCUGAGACAGGUGCUGCAUGGCUGUCGUCAGCUCGUGUUGUGAAAUGUUGGGUUAAGUCCCGCAACGAGCGCAACCCUUAUCCUUUGUUGCCAGCGGUUAGGCCGGGAACUCAAAGGAGACUGCCAGUGAUAAACUGGAGGAAGGUGGGGAUGACGUCAAGUCAUCAUGGCCCUUACGAGUAGGGCUACACACGUGCUACAAUGGCAUAUACAAAGAGAAGCGACCUCGCGAGAGCAAGCGGACCUCAUAAAGUAUGUCGUAGUCCGGAUUGGAGUCUGCAACUCGGCUCCAUGAAGUCGGAAUCGCUAGUAAUCGUGGAUCAGAAUGCCACGGUGAAUACGUUCCCGGGCCUUGUACACACCGCCCGUCACACCAUGGGAGUGGGUUGCAAAAGAAGUAGGUAGCUUAACCUUCGGGAGGGCGCUUACCACUUUGUGAUUCAUGACUGGGGUGAAGUCGUAACAAGGUAACC
rnacentral:rRNA from 1 species